rnacentral:tRNA from 1 species
UUAAUUGAAGCCAAAACUUUAGAGGCCUUUCAUUGUUAAUGAAAUUAUUGAUUUUAAUAUCCAAUUAAA